GGGUGCGUAACGCGUGGGAACCUGCCCUUAGGUUCGGAAUAACAGUUAGAAAUGACUGCUAAUGCCGGAUAAUGUCUUCGGACCAAAGAUUUAUCGCCUUUGGAUGGGCCCGCGUAGGAUUAGGUAGUUGGUGAGGUAAAGGCUCACCAAGCCGACGAUCCUUAGCUGGUCUGAGAGGAUGAUCAGCCACACUGGGACUGAGACACGGCCCAGACUCCUACGGGAGGCAGCAGUAGGGAAUAUUGGACAAUGGGCGAAAGCCUGAUCCAGCAAUGCCGCGUGAGUGAUGAAGGCCUUAGGGUUGUAAAGCUCUUUUACCAGGGAUGAUAAUGACAGUACCUGGAGAAUAAGCUCCGGCUAACUCCGUGCCAGCAGCCGCGGUAAUACGGAGGGAGCUAGCGUUGUUCGGAAUUACUGGGCGUAAAGCGCGCGUAGGCGGCUUUUCAAGUCAGGGGUGAAAUCCCGGGGCUCAACCCCGGAACUGCCCUUGAAACUGGAUGGCUAGAAUACUGGAGAGGUGAGUGGAAUUCCGAGUGUAGAGGUGAAAUUCGUAGAUAUUCGGAAGAACACCAGUGGCGAAGGCGACUCAC
rnacentral:rRNA from 1 species